rnacentral:lncRNA from 1 species
GUACAACAAAUCAAUUCUCCACAAGAACACGGCUUGAAGAGGUAAAAGGAUUCUUCAGCUCUUUGAAAGAAAAUGGUUCUCAGCUCCGUUGUGUCCAACAGACAAUUGAAACCAUUGAAGAAAACAUCGGUUGGAUGGAUAAGAAUUUUGAUAAAAUCAGAGUGUGGCUGCAAAGUGAAAAGCUUGAACAUGAUCCUGAAGCUGACGCAACAGGAUGAAAAUCCAUCAGAAUCUCAGACUACAGCACUAAAUAUGCUUUGAUGCUACAUCAAACGGAAUGGAAGCAUAGCUGACUUCGCUAAAGUUACUUCAUCUCCAUCUAGCAAAUGAGGCACUGUUCUCAACCAAAGGAGAUGGGGAUCUGGUUUAGGGCAAUCCCUUUAUAAUUUGAUGUGCUGUGGUCUCCUUGGUAAUGUAUAAUUUGGUAUUGCACAGGUGAUUAGUCAAGGAAGUCUGGAAAAGCUUUGGUCCCACAGCCUUGCCUCACAGCAUGUAAAUAAUUAAAACAAUAUUGAUGCUGAGGUUCUUCUACUGCUAGUAUGAAAGUGACAAAUUUUUACUGGUGUGAAUUGGGAAGAAAACAAUGCUAUUCCAUGACGUUUGUAAAAUGUUUGUAAAAGCUCAAACAUGACGAUUCCAUAAAAUAAACUUGAGGUUAAAUAAUGGGUAGUAAAUUAUAGAAUGUAUAAG